rnacentral:rRNA from 1 species
AUGAACGCUAGCUACAGGCUUAACACAUGCAAGUCGAGGGGCAUCAGGAAGAAAGCUUGCUUUCUUUGCUGGCGACCGGCGCACGGGUGAGUAACACGUAUCCAACCUGCCCUUUACUCGGGGAUAGCCUUUCGAAAGAAAGAUUAAUACCCGAUGGCAUAAUGAUUCCGCAUGGUUUCAUUAUUAAAGGAUUCCGGUAAAGGAUGGGGAUGCGUUCCAUUAGGUUGUUGGUGAGGUAACGGCUCACCAAGCCUUCGAUGGAUAGGGGUUCUGAGAGGAAGGUCCCCCACAUUGGAACUGAGACACGGUCCAAACUCCUACGGGAGGCAGCAGUGAGGAAUAUUGGUCAAUGGGCGCUAGCCUGAACCAGCCAAGUAGCGUGAAGGAUGAAGGCUCUAUGGGUCGUAAACUUCUUUUAUAUAAGAAUAAAGUGCAGUAUGUAUACUGUUUUGUAUGUAUUAUAUGAAUAAGGAUCGGCUAACUCCGUGCCAGCAGCCGCGGUAAUACGGAGGAUCCGAGCGUUAUCCGGAUUUAUUGGGUUUAAAGGGAGCGUAGGUGGACUGGUAAGUCAGUUGUGAAAGUUUGCGGCUCAACCGUAAAAUUGCAGUUGAUACUGUCAGUCUUGAGUACAGUAGAGGUGGGCGGAAUUCGUGGUGUAGCGGUGAAAUGCUUAGAUAUCACGAAGAACUCCGAUUGCGAAGGCAGCUCACUGGACUGCAACUGACACUGAUGCUCGAAAGUGUGGGUAUCAAACAGGAUUAGAUACCCUGGUAGUCCACACAGUAAACGAUGAAUACUCGCUGUUUGCGAUAUACAGUAAGCGGCCAAGCGAAAGCAUUAAGUAUUCCACCUGGGGAGUACGCCGGCAACGGUGAAACUCAAAGGAAUUGACGGGGGCCCGCACAAGCGGUGGAGUAUGUGGUUUAAUUCGACGCAACGCGAAGAACCUUACCAAGUCUUGACAUCCUGCGACGCACAUAGAAAUAUGUGUUUCCUUCGGGACGCAGAGACAGGUGGUGCAUGGUUGUCGUCAGCUCGUGUCGUGAGAUGUUGGGUUAAGUCCCGCAACGAGCGCAACCCUUAUGGUCAGUUACUACGCAAGAGGACUCUGGCCAGACUGCCGUUGACAAAACGGAGGAAGGUGGGGAUGACGUCAAAUCAGCACGGCCCUUACGUCCGGGGCUACACACGUGUUACAAUGGGGGGUACAGAAGGCAGCUAGCGGGUGACCGUAUGCUAAUCCCAAAAUCCUCUCUCAGUUCGGAUCGAAGUCUGCAACCCGACUUCGUGAAGCUGGAUUCGCUAGUAAUCGCGCAUCAGCCACGGCGCGGUGAAUACGUUCCCGGGCCUUGUACACACCGCCCGUCAAGCCAUGGGAGCCGGGGGUACCUGAAGUACGUAACCGCAAGGAUCGUCCUAGGGUAAAACUGGUGACUGGGGCU